GACGAACGCUGGCGGCGUGCUUAACACAUGCAAGUCGAACGGAAAGGCCCUGCUUUUGUGGGGUGCUCGAGUGGCGAACGGGUGAGUAACACGUGAGUAACCUGCCCUUGACUUUGGGAUAACUUCAGGAAACUGGGGUUAUAACGGGAUAGAAGUUCCUGUGGCUGGGUGGGGGUUGGAAAGUUUCGGCGGUUGGGGAUGGACUCGGGGCUUAUCAGCUUGUGGGUGGGGUGUUGGCUUACCAAGGCUUUGACGGGUAGCCGGCCUGAGAGGGUGACCGGCCACAUUGGGACUGAGAUACGGCCCAGACUCCUACGGGAGGCAGCAGUGGGGAAUAUUGCACAAUGGGCGGAAGCCUGAUGCAGCAACGCCGCGUGCGGGAUGACGGCCUUCGGGUUGUAAACCGCUUUCGCCUGUGACGAAGCGUGAGUGACGGUAAUGGGUAAAGAAGCACCGGCUAACUACGUG
rnacentral:rRNA from 1 species